rnacentral:rRNA from 1 species
UGGGGAAUUGUUCGCAAUGGGCGCAAGCCUGACGACGCAACGCCGCGUGGAGGAUGAAGAUCUUCGGGUCGUAAACUCCUGUCGAGUGGGACGAACGGUCCGCGGGUGAACAAUCCGCGGAAGUGACGGUACCACUAAAGGAAGCCCCGGCUAACUCCGUGCCAGCAGCCGCGGUAAUACGGGGGGGGCAAGCGUUGUUCGGAAUUACUGGGCGUAAAGGGCUCGUAGGCGGCCAUCUAAGUCAGACGUGAAAUCCCCCGGCUUAACCGGGGAACGGCGUCUGAUACUGGACGGCUUGAAUCCGGGAGAGGGAUGCGGAAUUCCAGGUGUAGCGGUGAAAUGCGUAGAUAUCUGGAGGAACACCGGUGGCGAAGGCGGCAUCCUGGACCGGUAUUGACGCUGAGUGAGCGAAAGCCAGGGGAGCAAACGG